CGGACUCACGGCUUCGCUCAAUGUUUACUCUAAACAGAACCGGUCAGUUUGUCAUAUGCAAAAUGACCCGCGCAUUUCUUGGCAUGGCGAUUUGUGUAUCGAAGAUAUAUGGCCACUAACAUAUUGAUCUGACAUGCUAUUGAAUUGAACUUUGGGAAACAACUAACAUGACAACUAACAUGAGCUUUGAACCGGUACAUAACCAGCAGUUUCUUCACAGAAAUCAUGAAAAGCAACUCCAGUAGAUGAGAUUGAAAAUGAACUCCAAGAGGAAGGAUCUUAAACCUGAAGCAUUCCAACUAACUUCUAUUUCUCCAAAAAUGUUGGCUGACUGGCCGAGCAUUUCCAGCUUUUUAUGUGUUUGUUUUAAAAGUUCCACUUGUUGUAUUUUACUAAUUGCUUUUAGGUAACAUGGUUAUCUUUUCAAUCCACAGGGGGGUGCUGUUGUAAUUAUCAACAACAAAAUUCUGCAAAUGACC